UAUUACUUACUUAUUUCUGGGUAUCGUGCUUCAGAGAACCAUGAUGUGUUACAAUACGCUCCGCUCUUUAAUUUUAGUUUAGUAGAAAAUAUUCUCAAAACUUGCAUAUAUCAAAAUUAUGUCAGGGUUCUAAAAUGAAUCGGUAAUAAAAUCGUAAACCAGAUCAACAUUGGAAAUAUUUAAAAAAAAAGAUGCUUUGGUCCGAUUGAAAAAAGUACUAUACUACCAAAUAGUUACAUCUAUUCGGUGGCAAUUAAGUUAUAAAAUUCUGUCUAUUAUUAAUUUUAAUAAUAUAAAGUGUACCCUUUAACUCUCAGCCAUUAUUUACAAUUUAAUUGGUUAUUAUGCCUAAAAAAAUGAAUUGACAACUUUGGUAUUGUUUGGUAUAAACAGCUUAAUUCCUUUAUGUAAAGCCACCUUAACAUGUUGUUGCAUAAUUCUGACUCACGUUGGUUGCUAUCGGGCUUAAGCCAUAAAAAUCGAAGAAAAAAAGAAGAAGACGCCCACUUUCACUUGUCAUUUCAAUGUCACUUUCCGGCCCACAAGCAUAGACGCCACCGGCAACGGGAGUUCCCAAAUCCAAACAAAUGUUGGAAGAUGUUUUUAAGUCUCCACAUCUUUGUCAUCUUUCUUACUUUUCUAUAUGAAAAUAAAAUUGGACUACACCAACAAAGGUUAUGUGUUUUGCACCAGAUUGAAAGCAUCAUAGCGAAAAACGGACCUGUCAUUUCUUUAAAUUUCCAAAAGAGCCCCUGGAAAAAGAAAAAUUAAUAUCUCUGCUAAGGAAUACUAAGGCAAAUGGAUAAAAAACCUUCAGUCCAUGCAUUGGUAUGUAAUUGUUGACAAAAAUACAAUGAAUGGCCUCACUACUUUUCCACAUGCAAAGAGGUUAACCAAGGAGAGAUUAAAGAAAUUGUCAAAAAGCUAGGUAAAUACAGAAUUGCUUAGUACAAACUUUUCUAUACCCAGUAUAAGUUUGUCCACUUCUUUGAAGCAUGGUACUUCAAACAGAGAAACUGUCAACGAUUUGGUAGAAGGUGAGCCCAUGUCAAAUUCCAGUAAGAGACAUGAUUUCAAUUUUGCACCAACAGCAGAGCCGAAAUUCAUUUUGCUUAUUAAGUUUUGCAAAUGAAGUUUUUCAUAUGAGCAUAUAAAAAAUAUUCAUAACAAAGUUCAGUUGUAUACAGGUUUGACAUGUAAUAAAUAUUUUGUAACCUUAUUAAGUUAAUUAGUUUUAUACAUUAUUUAAAUAAUAAUUGUAUAGUUCACAUAGAAUAGGCAGAAAUGAUAUGUACAUAUAUAAAAAAAUUUAUUAAGAUAAGGAGAACAUGUAUUAAAGCAUAACACAUAAU